GGACCCGCACAAGCGGUGGAGCAUGUGGUUUAAUUCGAUGCAACGCGAAGAACCUUACCUGGUCUUGACAUCCUGCGAACUUUCUAGAAAUAGAUUGGUGCCUUCGGGAACGCAGUGACAGGUGCUGCAUGGCUGUCGUCAGCUCGUGUCGUGAGAUGUUGGGUUAAGUCCCGUAACGAGCGCAACCCCUAUCCUUAUUUGCCAGCACAUUAUGGUGGGAACUAUAAGGAGACUGCCGGUGACAAACCGGAGGAAGUGGGGACGACGUCAAGUCAUCAUGGCCCUUACGGCCUGGGCUACACACGUGCUACAAUGGCUAGGACAGACGGCCGCAAACCCCGCGAGGGGGAGCCC
rnacentral:rRNA from 1 species